GGGCGUAAUCUCAGCUACAUAAAUUGGUACCACAUAAGAAAGAAGCCCCAUCCCGUAUCCUACCAACAGUCUUCCAACAUUGAGCCACCAAGAAGCCUUUGAGAAUGCUAUUGCAAGCCAUCCUAUGAUGCAAAACAUUUCUGAGAAGCCCAUUAUGCCUCUUCGACCAGUGUAAUCUGCUAUCCUCCCACUCAUUAUUGCGCCUACCAUUGCCCCGAUUGUUAAAAUAGAACCAAAAACUGAGUACUCUGCCAAAGAUAGACCCAGGUCGUCCAUGAUUCCAGACUGAGUGGGUGAUGAAUAUCCUACAGCUGAGCCGAAAACAUAUGAACCAGAAACAGCAACCAGGGUGCUUAUCACCAACACAGUAGUUGCUGAAGAUCCUCCACUCUGCACUUCUCCACUAACACAGGCAUCAUCUCUUCCACGUAUCUGAGAUCU
rnacentral:misc_RNA from 1 species